UCCAGGCACGUUCAUCAGAGCAACGCCUGGAGUGGUUCGGAGGAGGGCUCCCAAGCCAUCAAGACCCACACCAUUGGCCGUUCGAUAGCCAAUGGGCUCUCAGCAAUGCUUUCACCACCGCGUUCGAGCCUUCGAGGAGAAGCAGUCUGCCUGCAGCAGUGCCGCGUCCAACCAGCUAGUUCGAUUGACUGACAGCGAGUUAAUGUAAAUUAAGGAAGCUUGCUAACGAAUUAGAUAUGGUUUACGAGUAGAAUUGCUUGUUUUCAGAUUCAAAAAUAGAGCUUAAAUUGCAUCAUUGACAUUGUCAAAGACGUACACACAUUGGUAUGCUGCGUUGCACUUCAUGAAAUCAAGAAAAAAACUGGCGACUUUGAAAGACUGAGCAGUAGCCUACACUGGAAGAAAGUGAAGACAACUCAGUAAGUCUGCACAUUGGACAAACUGUCAAUGCCAAUUGGAGACUACCCCACUGGAAUAAGAGGUCAACCACCUCCGUACUCAACUGCCUGUCUCUGCACCUCAGAAAAAGCAGUGUCUUGCCCACACCAAGGCAAAGAAACCAGUCAAGAUCCAGAGAUUGAGUCAAUUUAGCCAACGAGCUCACAGGAAGGACAGGAGGAAGAGUUGUCUGGUUGUUGUUUUGACCUUCUUCUCCAAUGGGUUUUGAGCAGGUGAGGAAAGAGGAUGUGAGGAAUCAAGGAACUGCAACAGAUUUUCCAACUGUCCUUAUUCCGCUUACUAUGUCCUUGUUAGACUUUUUUUAGUUUACAAUUAAUUGAAUUCAUAAAGUAAAUCGUUUCUCAAUAUUUAGGAUAGCAUUCAUUAUUAGUUGUACAUUGAUUGCAUGAAAACUGACACACCGGAGAAUUCAGAUUUUCUUGUCCUUUUACAAAGACUAAAGGUUAAAUGUGUGUUUAUCAGUAUUGUGGCUACACAUUCACUUUUAGUUUUUUCAAACACACCUCUCCUCUCUGUACCUCGGAUCUCCAGUGCCCUGCCCUUUCUCUCUUUAUGGCCAUGUCUGAAGUUCCCUACUACGUCUAGGCUUUAUGGAGUAGUCCCUGUAUCUGUCUGCAGUUGUGCAAAAAAAUACAUGCUCUGGUUCUCUUACAGAUUACAGGCUACACAUUUAAUUGUUGUAUUUUUACACACACACACACACACACAGUUAUUUUUUAAAACAUUUUUACAACACAUACCUGUCAUGUUCUUUCCUGUACUUGAAUACUUAUUAAAUUCUAAUGUUUUCAUAGUCAGUUACAUUUGUUUAUUAAUAUCUCAUUUAGACAAGAUGAAAGUAAACGCAUGCUCUUCCUAAUUGUUUUUUUUCCACCUGCAUUGUGUCAGAGCAGUGAAGAUGGUGGUAAACUGUACUAUUUGUAUGGACUCUAGGUUACCUUUUCCCAUUAUCAUACUAACUGUAUGUCUUAUAACCUUAGAGGUCCUGCUAUUUUGUGGACAACGGUAGAUGUUUCUUAAAAUAACCUUGGUGUUAGAGGGCUCUUAAGAGCCGUUUCACUUCACGGCAUACUGCCAUGGGACUUCACCUGCCGGCGAUGAAGUAGGUGGUCAGCUUCUUCUUCACCUGGAGUGCCUGCCUGGGGGUGUUGGCACCUACCCUGGUGACAUCAGGUAGGUGACCAUUUGGCGUGCUGUCUCCAUCCGGAGUGGCUCCUGGAAUGACCUCUGCAGGUAGUUGUGGAGAACAUGUGGUCUUCAUGCAGGCAUCGACAUUUGAGGGGCUGAGACCAAGCACUCUCCGAUACAUUUCUCCACCGGGCUGCCAGACCCCCAAAGACGCAUUCAACAACUAACCUUUACCUGGAUAGUCGUUUGUUAAAGAUCCUUACAGCUUUUGGCAAUGGCAGCUGGUGUUCUGCUAGCUAGCCAACAGCUAGCCAACGUCUACCGAACAGAACUUCUGCACUCAACAAUCCGGUCGCAUUUCGCUUCGCUCCACAGGUAGUAUCACAUUUUUCAUUUCAUUUCAUUACAGUACAACGGCUUGAUUUGUUUGAUCGUAGCUAGCUACAUAGCUAGCUACACAGCCGUCUUUGUAUCAAAGAUAAUUGUGUAGUCUAGAGCGACUUCCUAGGUUAGUUAGCCAGCUAUUGUCGUUCUUUUAACGCAACGUAACGUAAUCAACACUGCUAGCUAGCCAGCUAGCCCCGAAUAGCAGCACAGUAGAAACUAUUACACUCAACGGAACGACUUGAUUAGUGUAGUGUCAACAACGCAGCCAAUGCCAACUAGCCUACUUAGUCAACAACGCAGCC